rnacentral:rRNA from 1 species
CCUACGGGGUGCAGCAGUGAGGAAUAUUGGUCAAUGGACGAGAGUCUGAACCAGCCAAGUAGCGUGAAGGAUGACUGCCCUAUGGGUUGUAAACUUCUUUUAUAUGGGAAUAAAAUGUUCCACGUGUGGGAUUUUGUAUGUACCAUAUGAAUAAGGAUCGGCUAACUCCGUGCCAGCAGCCGCGGUAAUACGGAGGUUCCGAGCGUUAUCCGGAUUUAUUGGGUUUAAAGGGAGCGUAGGUGGAUUGUUAAGUCAGUUGUGAAAGUUUGCGGCUCAACCGUAAAAUUGCAGUUGAAACUGGCAGUCUUGAGUACAGUAGAGGUGGGCGGAAUUCGUGGUGUAGCGGUGAAAUGCUUAGAUAUCACGAAGAACGCCGAUUGCGAAGGCAGUUCACUGGACUGCAACUGACACUGAGGCUCGAAAGUGUGGGUAUCAAACAGGAUUAGAUACCCCAGUAGUC